rnacentral:rRNA from 1 species
UCCUACGGGGCGCAGCAGUGGGGGAUAUUGCACAAUGGGGGAAACCCUGAUGCAGCGACGCCGCGUGAGGGAAGACGGUUUUCGGAUUGUAAACCUCUGUCUUUGGGGACGAAUUGAGACGGUACCCAAGGCGGAAGCUCCGGCUAACUACGUGCCAGCAGCCGCGGUAAUACGUAGGGAGCAAGCGUUGUCCGGAAUUACUGGGUGUAAAGGGAGCGUAGGCGGGACUGCAAGUUGGGUGUCAAAUCUACCGGUUCAACCGGUAGCCGCACUCAAAACUGCAGUUCUUGAGUGAAGUAGAGGCA